UGGGAAGCCAGAGCCACCUGCCAUGCCCCAGCCAGUGCCUACAGCAUAAACAGGGUCUUGGCAGCUGCAUCUGGAGGCUGGAUGUUGUCCUGUACAGAC